rnacentral:ncRNA from 1 species
CGUGUGGUGCCUAUGUUUUUAUUCCAUGGGAGAAUAGAGAAGAGAGGUGUAAUUUCUCCACGGUCACGUCGCUAUAAAAGAUGAAUUUCCUUCUUUUUGCGUCAUUGGAAUUUCUAUUUCUGGGAAGGCCGCAGGAAGUGUUGACGCUUAAGUCAGAAGACCUGCCCACGGAAU